rnacentral:rRNA from 1 species
AGUGUUCUAUUUAGAACUGUGGUAGGUGAGUAAUGUCCCCUACUAGAAAGGAGAGGGCAAGGCUGGUGCCAGCCGCCGCGGUAAAACCAGCUCUUCAAGUGGUCGGGAUAAUUAUUGGGCUUAAAGUGUCCGUAGCCGGUUUAGUAAGUUCCUGGUAAAAUCGGGUAGCUUAACUAUCUAUAUGCUAGGAAUACUGCUAUACUAGAGGGCGGGAGAGAUCUGAGGUACUACAGGGGUAGGGGUGAAAUCUUAUAAUCCUUGUAGGACCACCAGUGGCGAAGGCGUCAGACUGGAACGCGCCUGACGGUGAGGGACGAAAGCCAGGGGAGCGAACCGGAUUAGAUACCCGGGUAGUCCUGGCCGUAAACGAUGCAUACUAGGUGAUGGCACGGCCAUGAGCCGUGUCAGUGCCGUAGGGAAACCGUUAAGUGU